AAUUAUUUUAUGCCUCCUGCACUAUCAUCAGGCUUUGGAUGGCUGCACAAAGGCCACUGGCAACAGAACAAGAUGGCUGUAAAAAAAUGCAAAAAAUUGGGAUAGAAAAAAAAGGCAACCAGACCAAACAGAAAGGUGUGGCAGAUUACCCUUGAUAGGGCCAGUUUGGAGACCUUAGAAACAGAUGUUUUUUUCUUCUUACUCUGCAAGAGUUACAAGCCAAUAGUGCCACAAUCCAAAAUUUUUACAUCUGCUGUUGGAUUUUUAAAAAUGUCCUGUUCUUAGUGCCUGUGUUCUGGAAGUCCAUAGAAAUCAACUGAGAAGAGACCAUCAGCUCUUAACCUCUUUCACAGAAUUGGUUUGUCCAUCCAUAAAGAGUCUCAGUAGCAUUUGUAGGAACUGAAUGCAAGUGAGCAUAGUUAGAUAUAGUGUUUUCACUGACCAUCAUAACCUAUUUCUUGCAUGAUCUGUGGCACAAAUUUCCCUAGUUUUGGGUGACAGCUGCCUGUGGUGUGUCAUUAGAUCUCAGGAAAUGUCUAAGAUUCUCUAAGUCUUCCUGAGAAGUUCAAUGUGAAGGCUGCUAUUGGAAGAAGAUGGGGACUCUCUGAGUUGCACACUAUCUUGUAUUUGAAAUCUGCAUUGCUUUUCGUAUUGCUGUAGCAAAUGUACAGUUUAGUGCCAUUCUGUGACAUUUUAACAAAUUUCCAGUUUCUGCAUCAAGCAGACUAAGACUGAUAGUGACAAGUUUGAUGCCCUGUACUGGGAUGUAUGACUGGGGAGAUGGAAAAAGAAAGGACUACCUCAAGGGAAUAAGAUGGUUGCGGUAUAGGCCUGUAAAUGCAAACCUAAAUACUCUUUUUAGUAAGGCUGGUCUAUUAUUGCAACCUAAAGGAAGUUCAUUUAAUUAAUAAUUAAGGUCCUCAUCUGCAAGAUGCUCUCAGUAUGAACUUUAGUAUCAGAAAUGGCCAGGAAUUUAUUUUAUGGUGCAGCUGUGUUGAGAAAAGUCAGCAUCAUCAAAAAUACAAAACUGCUGCCAAAAGCAUAUGCCUAUCCUGUAAAGAUUCAUCAGGUCCAGUACACUGAUUAAAGACAGAGAAAGAUACCAGAAUCCACACUAGAAGAACUGGUAUCAAAUAGCCACCACAAUUACUCUUAGCUUUAAUGAGACAGCAUAGAAGUGAUAAUUAUAUUUUCCCUUAGAACCAAACUACUUAUUGAAUUGGCAGUAUCUCCAAGUGCACAUACUGCAAUGAGAAUGAAAAAAACUGUUCCAAAGUCCUUCCUGCCUGGUGAGUGCCACGCCAGAGCAUUCUGGAUGAACACUGUGACCAGCAUCCCAGACAGCACUGGAGCCCAGCUGGAGCAAUGGGUUUCCCUGUGCUCUGGGGAGUCACAGGAUCAACUAGGUUGGAAAAGACCUUUAAGAUCAUCAAAUACCACUGCUGCCCCAGGACUGCCAAGUCCACCACUAAACCAUGUCACUAAGGGCCUCAUCUACACGGUUUUUGAACACUUCCAGGGAGAGUGAUUUUACCAAUUCCCUGGGAAGUAGUGUUGACUACCUUUUUGAUGAAGAAAUUUUCCUUAAUAUGCAGUCUAACCAUCCCCUGGUGAAGCUUGAGGCUGUUUUCUCUUGUUCUAUUACUUGUUACUUGGGAAAAAAGACCCUUUAAGCUUCUUUUUCCUGUCUGCAAGCUUUACUGGUAAUGGUUAAUCUGCUAGGAUUUUAGACAUCAUAACCAACAGAAACAUUAAUAAAGUCCUUUAGAUUUUCUGGAUUGAAGUUUCUACAUAAAUACAAAUUGUUGAUUAUGUUGUCAUCUGUCCAUGUCCCCUGACCUCCCAAUUCCUCCCUCUGCCCACAUUUUCUUUUAUAUUUAACAGUUUAGGUGAUUAAGAAUUGAUUCUGCAUUGUGUUCUGGUUUAGCUAUGCUCCUAUUUUCCUCUCUCAUGUUAUCUGUUGUGCUAUGGUUCACGAGCUUACUCUAUUUACUCCUAAAACACUGGUUUACUUGACUCAAAACCUCUUUGAAUAGCUUGCUCCAUGUGGCAGCUGUAUGCCAACAGAGCAGUUUUGCCUCACAUUUCUAUGUAUCAGUAAACCCUUGUGUCUUUGGAAUGCAGAAAGGGAAAAGGUUAAUUUCUAGGCUCGGUGGUUGCUACUCACCUGGGUGAAUAUUUUGAACUGUAAAUAUGACACCAUCACUGUGGAGAAAGUAUUUCCAUACUCUAUAAUUCACAAUAAUUAAUAAAUUACAAUGUAUUUUUAUUAUUAUUAUACACAUAUGAUUUAGAAGAUGCAUACACCUUGUGAUUUUCAAGCUCUUCUGUUGGGUGAAGCACUGAAAAUCUGUGUUUGGGGAGCAAGAAACGAGUACUCAGCACCAACCAUUGCUGCUGUGCUCUUGGUUUGAUCUGGUGCCCAGAGAUGGAAUGAUUUGUGUUGGCUUUGUAUGCUGUUUGAUUCUGAACAGUCUGAUUGCACAAUGUUAACAACUCAGAUGCUGAGGAUCAGGGUCAAGAAAACUUUUUUAUUUUGUUUCAUGAUGUCAUCAGAGAUGGGCGAUAGCAAAUUUCUUUUUAGCUCAUGCAGAUGAAUAAAAGCCAAAUGGAAGAAGACUUGUCACAUUGUAGAAGAGGGAAACAAGCCAGUAGUUCAGAGUAAAGGAGUAAUAAUGUGUAGCCUGUGAAACUGUUAUGCUAGAAAAUGGGGAUAAAAUUAUAUUGCUUAUUAUCUGCCUUUGCUUUUAUUAUUUUAUAAACUUCGCUAACAUCCCCACACAAAUUAUUAUUAUUCUGGGAAAUUUUUAGCUGAAUGGGUUGAAUUCCACAAAGAUCACUUUGUCCUUUCCAUGAUCACUCUUGGUAGGUAAUGUUCUCAGAAAUUUUGAAAGCAUAAUUUGGAUUUUUUUCCUACCAAACUUCCCAGAAGAAAUACAUUCUGGAUGGAGCAUUGCAGCCUGCUAUCUAGCAUAUGUUGUUUACUGCAGUCUUGGUGUUUUUUUUUGGGGGGUUGCCUGUUUUGAACUCCAUGGUGUGGCUUUUUGCAUGAAUAGGGUGAGAAAGCUGCUCCUUCCCACGACAAUCUCUACUGUCUGUCUACUGUUCGGUCUUUCUUAGACAUGCCUUCUGGUUCAGUCUUCCAUACCAACUACAUUGCACGUGUACACAGGUAUCAUUAAAAAUAUAAGUAAGAGUGCUAUUUAAGAAUUUCUUACCUUUGAAAGCUUGAAAGUUCAUUUUCUAUGACUUUUCUUAGCACUGAAAAAUUCACUGGUAGAUUAGGUACCAUUGUCUUUCUGCAUCUGUGUCCCUGUAUUUUUUAAACAUAAAAAUGCAAUAAUUUUUCAAAAUUCUGUGCAGCUCUAAUACACAUUUUUAAUUAAAAAAGCUAAAAAUUCAACAGGCAAAAAUUCAAGAUAGAAUGAAUCUAAAAUUUCCUUUUCUCAUGAUACCAUUUCCAUGUAGAAGUGGGUUUGCAUCAUGAUAAUUCACAGAUAACCUUGUGAAGCAGGUAAAUGCUCUCUGUGAUUUCAGGUAAAAAAUCAUUGUUAUUUCAACACACUGUGUACUGCUUCAAUAGUGCUCACUGCCCGAAAAUAUGCAAAAUUAAUGGGGUGAACAUCAGUAAAAAACAGUUCAUGAGGCAUCCAACCUACAAAGAUAGAAACAAGUGAAAGAUAAAAAUCUGUGACAUUUGACUGUUCUUUUUCCUUGCCUGAUUUAUCUAUAAUUCAGACUGCUUAACUUAACUUAAACACAGAUACUGUAGUCAUAGUAUUUGUUAAAGCACUAAGUUGACAAGUAUUGAGCACCAGCCAUUAUUUCUGUUUGAGAGUCAGAGGUUUGAGCUAUUCAUUUUGUAGCCCGACGUACAGCAUCACAAUUCCUUGAAUUCCCAAAGCUUUUCAUAUGGCUUCCUCAAGGACAGCUAUCAUGUCUUAGCUGCUGCAGUGACAGAUGGGAUACAAUGUGUCAUGUGAUGGAUAACACUGGAGCCACAGUACUUAAUCCUUCUAAUACUAAUAGCGGCAUUAUCAUAGAGAUUUAUGAGAAUGUCAGUUCCAAGUUCCCAGUUCCAUUCAUGGGUUUUUAAAACUUCAGCUGCAAAAAACAUGCAUCCAUCCCAUUAAUUCUAAUUAUCAUGGUUCAUCUUCUUCAGCAGUUUUGUACUCCGGAACCUUUCAGUGCAAAUUAACGUACCAAAAAAGUGUAUUAAUUAAUAUUUGUAGCUUUUAAUUUCUGCAAGAGUGUUGUCUGGAAGCAGCUGGCAGUACAGGGCCGCUGCUAUUGAAUCUUUGCCAAACAAGUGCAGAUGUAAUUUUGUUAUCUCUUGCUUAGUCAUUUACGCAAAUUAAUUUGAACAAUUAGCCUUUUACUGGUCCUUCAUGAAUCAUGCAAAAGGGAUCUGCCAAAAAAAUUGCUAGUUGACAGAAAAGAAUUGGUUAACAUUGUAAAUCUUACAAAAAGGUAUUAGUAUGUUUGGGAUAAAGUACAACUUCAGAAAAAAUUGUGUUUGGUUUGUUUUGUUUUGUUUUUUUUUUGGUGCCUCAUCUAUUUCACUUCACACUGCUGAUUAUUGUUGAAGAAAAAAAUCAAGAAGAACAGUAAGCAGUAGAAAUUUGGGAACUUCAUUUUGGAUGAAAAGCAAAAAAGUUGUGUUUCUUGCCUAAAUGUUGUCUUGUCUUUACUGCUUGCAAAGCUGCAAUGGGUUUUGUUUGAGAGGAGGUCUGUAGUGAGGUCGGGCACUAUAAAGCAGAUUUGCUCAUUAUCUGAAAAAACAGCCAAAUCUUUAGUUUCUUUGGACAUUGUUCUAAAGGAAGUCUUAUCUUACCCAAAUGUCUCUCCUCUUAGUAAAACAGACUUCUGCAUAUACGCCGAAGCCUUGACUUAGAAAUGCUGGGAUUCGUCUUCAGCCACUUCUGUUCACUCAUCUUGAAACGAUGCUAAUACACUGCUGCUAACGUGGAUUGGUCCUGCAGAACAGACUAAGCUGCCAGUUGUUUUCCCCAGCAAUAGUGAAAGACCUCUGGGUAUUUACAUUCUGAAAAGAUUAAAGGACAGAAUUACACUGGAACUGGUGGAGGCAUGAUCCAUGCCCCCUUGAUUAUAUGGAAACAUUAAAAUAUCAUCAGCAUGUUAAUUUUA